CUGUUCAGCAAGAUAUAAAAACUUGUUUUAAGUCAACAAUUCCUUAAUAUUGCUGAAAAAGUGCUACUUCUACUGGAAGAUGAUUUCACUAAUGACAUGGGAAAAAUAUGCUGGUGCAAGUGAAAUAAUCUGUCAUUGAAGCAAAGGACUUUUAUUGAGUAUGUUUAUGACGUAAAUGAGCUUCUAUGUUGCUGAAAAGUUACUUGUACAUAAGUUUUGUCUCGUUUCAAGUGGGCUGAGAUAUUUCUGCACUGGGAACGAGACAAAAAUACUUAUUUCUGUAGCAAAAAAAGUCACAAGAAGACUUAUCUGUGUGACUCACGUAGGCGUCACAAAAAGUUUUCUUCACACAAAACUAUGCGUGGCUCUGAACAGGCAAAAUAACGACUGGUGGCGAUGAAAUGAUACGCCAAUAUACUAAAUAGGUUACUUCUGACACAAAAGGUGAGAGUAAAAGAUGCUAAAUACAAAUACACACCACACUUUUAAGAUUUGUAAGCACGUGUGAUUUUUCUUCCACUGUUUCAGAUAAAAAAAACUAAAACUUCACAGAUCUUCUCACUUUGAAUGAACUCAAGGUGGGAAGCGAAGGUUUUUCCUUCUCUACUGUGCCAGUCGAGAAGAGUCAGCUCUGUUUGAACAGUAUUAUCAUUAAUGGAAGAGCAAACUGAGGCGGGAGCGCGGCGUCUGACGCAGGACGGCCCUGGACGCUUCUUUUUCACAGCGGCUGGAGGAGUGAGGGGGGCUUUGGGGGGAUUCACAAUGUGUUCGGGACCGCUGUGCAAGGUACAAGCAGAGAAGGAAAACAAAACAAAAAAAGGCGAGAGAGGACAGGGAGGGGAGGGGAAACACAAGGAAACAUGAGUUGAAUUCUUUCCACCGGCUACAGGAUUUGCUGCGUCUGACGUCCUUUAGCAGGAAGCAGGGAAAUAUACGAUUCCUCUGUAGUUCCCGGGUCAAUUUCGGACAAGUACCAGGAUCUUUCUGACGCGGCACGAAAAGUUGUAAAAGUUCAGAAUCGGUGACAUAAGUCGGCGCGCACAGCGACUCGACCCGAGAGAGAGAGAGGCCUUGACUUCGGACGGAGUGGUGCCAAGCGGUUAAUGGCAGCAGCGUCUGAGCGAUGAUUCAAACUGGCCGGGGCCCACACAUGGCCCCCGAGACAGAAUGAGAACCAGAAGGGAGAUUAUCAUCUACACCUUCAACAUGCGACGGAUCUAACAUGAGAGAAAGAGAGGGGGGGGGAGAGACGGUGAACUCAGAUACCCUCGCCUUUGCAAAAACAGCCGUUUUCCUGUCGCAGCUCCUAUGAGCUGCGUUACAGGGAGGAAAAAUAAAAAAAUAGAAAAAAAUGAAAGAGAGAGAGGAUGGAGGGGAAAGGAGAGCGGGUUGGUGGGGCGAGGGGGAAUCCAAAAAGAUUUAUUCCUUUCUUGUUCUCUCUUCGUGUCGCUUUCCCGCUCUGUCUUGUUCCCCUGCUCCUAAAUUUGACUAUUAAACAGCACUGCAAAAACAGAAUGUUCUUGGCUGGAGCUCAACAAUGACAAAGUGGGGAGGGGAGGAGGACCAUACAUUAAGAAGAAAAAAAAAAGCUCUAUUUUCGUAUACUUAGCCUUAGAAACAAAUGACUAAUCUACAAAUUGGAGUCUGAAAACGUACGAGGCUUCAGAAAAGUUAAAGAAGGAAUCCGAGUUGGGCAUCUUUCUGUCAAAACACAUUAAAAUCGGGAGGUUUUACACUGUAAAACGUGACUUUUGACCGUCGUUUUCACACCGCGGCAUUUCAAAUGUUUCAAUCAAUAGAUAAUGCCUUUAAAAUUAAUUAUGUUGAGCUUAACCAAACAACUUUAGAAUCCCAGGCACUUAUUACUAAUUAAAUACUCCUUGAAUAACUUAAAAACAGAAACAAUAAAGUAAAAAAAUUGCUAUCCUAGACUUUAUUUUAUAGGAAUUAAUUAAUUUCAGUUGGACUUUUUAAAAGUUUUGUCAGUGUGACGUUUUCCUCCUGCAAUUACCUGAUUUUUAAGCUUAUUCUACCAGUAAUUUAUUUAAAUUGUCACAUUUCUUUCUUUCCUCUUUUUUUUUUUCUAACAAAAUAAAAAAAAUAAAAGCAGCAAUGUGAAUGAGCUAAGAAGCUGCACCCAUGAAAUUACUGGCAGGGCUCCAUUGUAAAUCCGGUAAAAAUAAAGAGAACUAAAUCAUCAAAUUUACCGAAAGAUUAGGCGUCUUUGACACUAAAAUCUGCGCAGCAUCGCAAAUUCUUCAGAGCCAAACAAUCUCCGAUGUUCUGCAUCAGUAAAUCGGGAGUCGCUUGCUGCGCGCCGACGUGGUGCGUGAGGAAGCUCCGGUGGGCAAGUGGAGGUUUGUGUGGAUUUACUGUCGCACAUGUCCAUAAAGUGAUUGCAGGGAACUCGGUGCGCCCGCCUCUCCUCCCCUCCUCCCCCCCGUCUCUAUUCCACUUUCAGAGUCAUCCAUCAGUCUAGUUACGACUGCCAACUCCGUGCCUCCUCCCCGGGAGCCGCGGAGAGGGAGCGACGCAGGCGGGCGGAGAGAAAAGCGCAGCGGCGAGGUAAAGUAGAAGGUGGGAGACGGGGAGGGGGAUGGGGGGGAAACGCUCCGGCUCGGUUCGAUCGGAUCAGAGUUCUCUGCUUUUUGUUUGCGCUCUUCUCAUCUUCUCCUGCUUCUCUGUGAGCCGAACAGGCAGGCAUGACAAAAAGAGCAGAUGGUCGCAGCAAUUAGAGAUCGCAGGCGGCAUCUUCCAGCAUGAGGCCCCGCUGUAGCACCAGGAGAGACCACCUGGAUGACUCAAGGUGGGAUGCAAGCAUAUGGCACAUCUGCCAGGCCCGCGCCGGAGCGGGGAACACCUCCCCUAUCGCAUUACAUUUUACCUUUGACCCAAGAAGGGCAGCGUCCUGCUCUCUGGGUUUUUUUUUUUUUUUUACCCUCUUGGUGAUUGUGAUACUUUGUGUUUUUUUUUUGUUGCUAAAAAUCAGCUUCCAGUGUCUGGUUUUAUCAUCUCUGCAGCUUCAUUUACACGUCCAGGUCAAUGAAUUAGAUUAAAAGGUUAAUUUCUGUCAGGUUGAAAAAGUGAAAGGAGAAAUUUGCAAAAUGCUCUUUCGGCUCCCUUACAGAUUUUCUCCAGGUUUUUGUUGUUUGGUCAAACUGAAAGGCUGCAAAUAAAGUCCCCAAGAAAAGCAUAAAACACAAAAGAUAAGCAACUGUUUAUAAAUAAAUCGUACAUUAAAGUAAAGCAGUCAACCAAACCAACCUGCUCUGAUGUGAAAACUUAAUUACACCCUGCAUACAAGAACUGGUGUCAGCCUUCGCAGAAACGACUGACAUCAUUCGCUGUUUUCAUUCGGUGUUAAUGAAUCUGAGCACGAGCAGCCUGGUGAAAGUCAUGCAUCUCCAUCAAACCUCAGUCCAGACUUUGACUAGACCACUGCAAACCUCUCAUGCUUGCUACAACGCAAGUGCACCUAAGCUUGAGAUCAAAAAGUUAAUUCCUUUAUAAAAUGAACAUAAUUCGCGGCUCCGUCAGCAGUGGCAGUAAUGUAAUCCCAUAGCAUCACACUGCCACCACCCUGUUUAGCUACAGGCAUGAGAAUAUCCAUCUGAAAUUCAGUUGGAACAGAAACCUUACAAAAUGUCCCACUUUUUCCUUCUUGCUUGGGAAACGCGAGACGAACUUAUCGCUCUUUUUUCCACCAGUAUUACUUUUAGCCUCGGCGCUCCAACAAAUAUGCCAUUUUUUCAAUCUUUGCUGUUGUUGAAUCGUGAACUCUGACCUUAACUGAGCCAUGUAAGGCGUUCAGCGCUUCAGAUGUCGCUCUGCUGCGAGCUCCUGAACGAGCCGAUGUAAUCUUGCAGUAAUUUGGGUUUAUUUCCAACCACGGCUUCACGCUUCCUCCACUUGGCUCAGAAAUGACUCUGUAGCCCUAAAAGAUGUAAAAGAUUUUAUCCGUUUCUUUAUAUCAAAGUUACUUUUUGAGCCAAACUGGUUCUGUUUUGGCAAACUACAGAUUCUGGUGGGUUUAUGCAGCUUUUUUCUACUUAAAAUAGAAAUAGAUUUGUUUUGUAUUCACUCGGGUUAUCUUACAUAAAAAUCUGAAACUAUCUUUUAGACUACUGACCUAAAUGAACUUUUAUGAUUUAUUUCGAUGCACCUGUUGUUUGUUUUAAAUAUAAACUGUAUAUAACUGCUGAAUUUCUUUUUAUCUGGUUGCUCAUAUAAAGUACAGUGUAGAACCGGGUUAUUAGGGGCCCGGGCCCCGGCUAUCUACAUCUAAAAAGGUGUCCUGUGCAGAGGUCCAGCCGAUCUGAUAGUCUUCAAAUAAACAGUAGUGUAACCUGUAAAUAAACAGUUGCGGUCGAGGAGCCUCAGCUUUGCCCUGGGAGCUUGGAAAGGCCAGACGCCACACACACACACACACACACACACACACACACACACACACACACCCACGCGCACAGAUAGACAUACACAUUUGCUCUUUUCCAAAAACAACAUUUCUUGGCACCCUCCUUCCCCCGCCACUUGUUUAAAUAAACAAACCGGUUCACGAAGGAAGGGGAGAAACAGCACAGCGAUUGAAUCAGAUUAUCUGCUGUUACUCAGCAAUAAAAAAAAAAAAAGAAAAAAAAAAGAGAGAGAGAGAGAGAGAGAGAGAGAGAAGGGGUGCAAAAAAAAAAGCACCAGCAGAAGGGGCUUGUGGGUAUUUUUGGAUGUGUCCACGAGUUCUUACACCUUCUUGUCCGGUGGGAUACUUAUCAUACCACUGUAACGAUUAGGGCAAUUAGCGGUAAUGGCAACAGAAAUCUGGCUCGGCAAGAAAGUUUCUGAGUGCUUAUGAGGUUUUCUCCACACCCAAGUGUGUUACUCGCCUGGAUUUUAUAAUCGCUAAAACACUCACACACUCUGGCUCCAAACCUCCCUCCUCCUCAAUUUCUGGCACCGAACCCAUUCUGUUCCCACUAAGUCGUGGAACACAUAUGCACACAAACACACACACACACACACAAACGCAUGCACGCGUAUGAAGAGAGUGUGGGUUAAAUUAGCCUCAUAGUUUGGGAAACUUUCUCUCCUUCUUCUUGUUAUUUUUUUUCCUUUCCUCCUCCUUCUCUGACGGCGGCGGUGCGAGUUUUUGCAGCAAACACUUCUUUGCAGACACGUUCAGAAACAGCGACGCGCGCUCGCUCGCUCGGGCCCCACGCACGCCCUGCAGAUGCAUACCGCUGUCGACAUUUCAGGAGGAGAAGCCUGUCUGGCAGCCAUUUUAUAUGCCGAGCAGGGUUCUGUGCACAUGUAUAGCGCUCUGGCUGCCAGAGGCGCGGGUCCCGAGCCAAGAUGCAUUUCAGCAGCCCCGGGGAGGCGGGAGGCGGGGUGAAGGGAGAGAGCGGGGUGGACGACUCCCGGAGAAGCGGGGAGAAAAAUAUCCACCUAAUUAUGGAGCGGCUCUGAUGCGUAAUGUUUCGACAAUACAUCUGCUCCUGAGUAAAUAUUUGAGGUGGCCAAACAGACUUUCUCCUCUUCCGGAAAGUUUGACCUUCCUUGGAAACCCGCAGGCGUGAGCGCGUGUGCAGCAGGGCCGCGCCGCGCCGCUCCCUGACUGUACAUGUGCUGGUAUGUAAUGUAAUGUAAUGUGUGUGUGUGUGUGUGUGUGUGUGUUUGUCUCAUGUCCUCUUGUGCUCCUGGUUUCUAUCAUUCACAGCUUGGAGGAUGACCUCACAGCGCUCGGGCCGGCUUCCAGGCAGCCAGCAGAACCUGCUCCCUUCUCCCAGAUCCCUCUUUCUUCUCCUCGCUAUCUGCCUAUCGCUGUCCCCGCGCCUGCAACUGUAUCCCGACUCCAUUGUAUCUUUUUCCCAUGCCGACAUCUACUAUUCAGGGUUUCCAUCUGUUUUGGUGACCCACCCUAACCCCCCCUCCUGCUUCCCUCCUUCGUUUGCCGCCUUUAUUAAACGACCCCCCGUCCCUCUCUCAUUCUAUCUCUUUGUCUCUCUAUCUCUGUCUUUUCUCCCUCCCUCGCGCUUUGUUGUCUAAACAAAGUGGCCUUUAUCAGGAUGAGCUGCAACCCAAACAAGCCAAACAAAAGAUAUGGGCGAGAAAAUCUGCCCGCAGAAGAGGGGAGGAUCUUAUCGUGCCAGCCUUUGUGUGCCAGCCUGCCAACUGGCGAUGCCCCCCCCGCCUCCCCCCCGCCGCCGCCAACCCCUCCCCAAAUCUCUCACAUACACAUUAAUAUGCCAAAUUCUGGCAUCGCCGCAACGAGCUGGCACCUGACCUGGCCGAAAGGAAAGCGGGGGUGACGGGAAGACGAACUGUUCGACGGAGGGGAGAGGGAAGGGCGCCAUCUUUGAGAUGGUGCUCUCCCGACGAGCGAUAAAUCAAGAGCCGAGGAGCAGGAUCCGCCGCAGAUCCGCCGUUUCCACUUUACGGUAGACAGUCACCGCUCAGGCUUGCGCUGGACCCGGUGCCGAGUUCCAGCUCUCCGUCACCACAGAGCGGGACGGACGCCAUCGCUCCUAAUCAGACCAGAAGACACGUGGCUACACAUGUCGCUACUGGUGAGAUAAAUAAUAAACAAGCCAAACGGACCACAAAAGAGAAAACAGGUUCUUUGGUGUAGAGGAAGACUGUCUCAAUUUCUACAUCAGUGUUGUGUGAGGGACUGUUGCAGAGUCAAAGAUCCACUUCAUCCUUGGAAAGGCACCUUUCUACCCGGCAGCGUUUUCUAAGCCUCCGAGUUUUGACAGCAUUGAAUCAUUUCUGGGUUUACAAAAGUCAAGUUAUCACAAACGCUUGACUGCAGUCGUUGCUGCUAACGCUAGUAGGCUUAGGGAGCAAUCGCUCUUUUAUCCUGGGUCAUGCACAUUUACAUUUUUUGCUCCCUAAAUAAUGAAACACUCCAUCUAAAAACUGCACUUUGUGCUAACUUGUGUCGCCUUCGACUUAACGUUUAAAUUGGCUUGACGUUCUGAAACACUGAAGUGUGACAAACAUGCAUAAAAACAUGAAAUCGGGAAACACUUUUUUUUUUAACGUGAUUUUUACAGGAUUCGUCUGAGCUGAAUUUGGAUGGAACUCGAUCCAUUUGUCCUGAUAUUUGUUGUAAUGUGACGCUACAUUAGUAAGACUGAAUUUGUCUUACUAACUGAACUUAAAUGAAGUCAUCUGCAGAUCUGUUUAUAAACCCCGACUCAUCUAUCAACAUCUCCGGCUGGAGUUUAUAAUUCCACAACGUCCCGUUCUGAGGCGCUGUUGGAAAUCCUGAUUAGAGAAACUGAAACAAUGACUGAAUGGUCUGUAAACUACGCUAAUGUGUUAUUAUUUCUGAACGGUUUUUGACACUAGUGACCUUUGACAGGAAAUAGGGUGAGGAAAGAAGAGGAAGACGUGCAGAAAAUGGCCCGAUUCCAGGAAUCGAACCCGGGACAACUGACUGAGCCACCCAGCGCCCAAAUAUACUGACAUUUAAAAAGAUCAUUUCCCCAUCUUCUGUGUCAAUAUAACUGGUAUUCAGCAUCUACUUUCACAUUUUUUCCAGCCGAACUUGAAAAGUCAUUUGUAGCUCUGAGUGGCUCCUGCUUGAAGCGGUGUGUUUAAAUCCUGUCCGCAGUGUCGGCAGGAGCUUUACGAACAUGACUGGCAUUUACAAACUGAACUGAUGAUAAAAAAUCAUCGUCAUAUCCUGUGAUUAGACAUCACUGUUGAUGCAGAAGGUGUUUAUGAAUCCUGACUGCUGCUUAAAACAGAGCUUAUAAGCUCUACUGAUGAGCCGGCGACAGAUAACUUGAUUUGUCGGCUGUGAUCCUCUGCAGAAAUUCAAAACACAACAGAGGGAGGUUUAAACAUUUACCAGAGGAGACGGCGAUGACUUGAGGACUCUGAACCUGCGGACACACCGGUUCUUCGCUUUUGAUUUUAAUAGUACAGUUAGAGACGCGCUUUGUGCCAAAGACAGAAACAUCUUCACGUUGAAACUCUCUGCACCGGCAGAAAUAAAUGGCAGAAAUCUUAGUCAUCUCCAACUGUGCUUUACACUCUGUGACACCGUAAUGAUUAUCUCAUAAUUGGAACAAGGGAGGCAUUUCUUAUUGGCCUUAAAGCGGCAGCUGAAAGCCUCCCUGUCAAAUAACCGCUGGCAGGUACAGAAAACCACAAACACGCAGAUGAACGUGACAGAAAAAGGAGGGAAAAAAGGUGAGAAGGGGGAAAGUUGAAAUGUCUGGGCAAACAAUUAAAUGUUGCGCUCUUUUUCUGUAAGGCGCACUCAAGACUCGGUGCGUCUGUCAGGGUUUGAAGAUGAGGGGAAUCAAGUGGGGUCCGGGCCCAGACGGGAACAAUGAGGACCCGGCCAGAGUGCUGUGUGCGAGCGCGGUCGAUUGUGCGUGACCCAGCUCGCUUGUAUCUCUCGGCGUCCAUGUUGGUCCCGCCGACAAGAGCACGCUCGGGCCUUCUGCUCCCACAAUGUGUCUGUGUGUGUGUGUGUUUGUUUCUAAUCGCCGCAUACUAAUGCGGGCGAAGAGCGGGCCCUCUUUCUUCUUUCCCCCGCCGAGUCGCCGUGUCUUCUCCUCCGUAAACUCUCACGGCAGUGAAAAGAGGCGAGCGUUUUAACUGAGCCAGGAGGACAACAGGCUCCUCAUUGAGGUCACCAAGCAGCACGGAUGGGGAGGGAGCUCAUUCUGCGGCGAGUGGGCCCCGAAUUGCACGCUGAAUGGCCCGGGAGAUCAUUAGCCCCACCGGCCCCGGGGACGAGGACUGGGGGGAAAAAAACCUGGCCAGGACAAAGCCGGGAAACCAAGGAUGCAGAUGAGGGUUAAUCCACCCAAAUUCAACUUCCCCACCUUUUUUUUUUAAAAUCCAGGAUGUGAAGUUUACCCACCUCUGAGCAGAUGCGCGCAUCGUUUGCACCGGCGCUCAAAGGCAGCCUCCAUUCAUGCAGUCAUGCUGCAUUUGCGCAUUAAAAACGUACACGCGGUGACAUACAGAACACGUGUGCGCACACAGAGGCACGCACCGGGCGCCCCGCGGAGAGCCGCCGUGCGCAGGGCAGUCGGCGAGCGGGCUGCAGACAAACCGCAGCGACACGACGCGACACAGUGGCUCAUCUGUCCGAUGAAAAAUGAGCAGGCUGGUCUCCAGUCAGCACACUGCGCCCCCCGCUUAAUGUUUCCACCUCCUCCCGCUCCUGCUAUGUUUGCCCUUUUCUCACAAUGUGGUCUUUCCUUUCGCUUAUUUAUUACACUCCUUUCUUUUUUCCCCUUUCUGUUCCUGUCACUUUGCUCUCAGCUUGUUGCCCCAACUGGGCGAUCUUUCACAAGAACCUGACGACCGUAUUAAAGGGGGGGCGAUGGGGGUCUCCUUUUAUUAAUAUUAUGCCUUCAGUUCUAAAGCUUUAUUGUUCAAGCUACUUUAAAUUAUUGUUUUCCUCACUAUGGUUGAAUCCCAUCGGCUUGUGACUCCAAAUAAGACUUUUAAAACCUAACAUUGGGCUUUUUUUUUUACAUUUUUACAGCCAACGUUUCUCUUUAGCAGGACACAGCAGAGUUAAACUUAUAUUUUAUGCAUAUUUUUAAAACAUAUCUAGAAUUUCUAUCAAUAAAAUGCAAGUUUAUAAAGUUUUAUGAUUGCAACUUUUAAAUUUAAUGUUUUUUUGGAAUAUAUCUGAAUGGGUGAGUCAGGUUUUUUUUUAGCUUAACUAGGUAUACUGUAAAUUUUACACAUUUUAAAACGCAUCUAAUCAGAAACAACAUAAAAAAUCUUACAUUUAGAUAAAAGCAACCAUUGUGCUAUUAGCAGAAAACUAAUUUGCAGACUCAGCCCUCAUUUAGGUUAUUUUAAGGCAGCAAUAACACUAAACUUAAGCCCAGCAACUUUUCAGAUGCUUCUAGUGACUUUUUUCAAAAAAGAAACUAGUCACAACUUUUUUAAUAUAUAUUUUUUUGUUACUGGAAACGUUGACGAUGAAAGCAACAAUAAAACUGCAGCAUCUGUCCUGACUGAGCGAGAAGCAAGUGUUGCUGUAAGCCUCCAUCGCUUCGUCAGUGCUGCAGCCGGUCUCACACAGACGUCCUGCAGCAAACACUGCAGAUAAAUCACACGUGAAACGUUUAGAAAUGCUAUCGAUCAAUGUGUGCCAAAGUGAGAUGGUUUUAUACCCAAACGCUGGGCCGAGUGACGAAAAUGUCAACAGAGCCGUGUCGUUUUAACCAAUAGGAAAAUUCAUCUGCGACGGUCACCGGUCGACCCACAGAUGGCAGCACUGAGACGGUUUAAGACCAAACAAUGCAGAGUUAAACCUUUAUGACCAAAGUUUCAAAUCUCCACCUGGAUAUUUUUGCUUAAUUUAAUUGCACGCAGUUCUUUAAAUGUCCUGUGAGUAAAUAUAUAUUUGCCCAUUUAUCAACAACACUGGAACUUUCGACAUCUACAAACUUAUUUUCGCAAUAUACCGUCUAUUAAAAGAGCGCCCGUCAGAUUGAUUUCACUUCCUGCUAUGGCGGCGGUGCAAUUACCGUAAUAUAUUUGUAAUAUAUUUGCUGGAAAGCGCAACAUGUCCACUUUCAGAAACUGUUGGGAUUUUUCAGGUAGCGCAACGUGUGGCAGAAUGUCGGUACUGCACAUUUGUCUGCGUCAUUGUCGACAUGUUCAGGAGUUGGAGGGUUUUAAACACAUUUACACUUAAUAAUAUCACACAAUUUGCAUUGAAACAUAAAAGUAGUCCUCUUGAGGACCAACUUAGACAGUUCAAAUGCAAGAAUUUUAUAUUUAGCUGCCUUUUAAAGUGAUAAGAGCAUAAAGAUGCUGUUUUAAUUCUCACCAAAGCUGAGAAGGUGCUUAAAGUGUUGCAUUUUCCAGAUUUUAUGAUGAUGCCACUUUGUUGGCUUUAAAUAUUCCUGCUUAGUUUAGAGUGAGAUGGGUGAGAAAAAAUCUGAUCUUUCGAAUUUAAUGGGCAGCCUUUACAUUUACACAUGAUUUUGUCAAACAAAAGAAGUUAGGAUUCAUUUUUUUACAAUUUGACGCUUAAAAUUCAACUUGAAAAUUCAACUCAAUAACUAUAACUUGAUUGCAAACAAAACAAAGACCACUGACAGUUUUGGUGCGAUUUGAGGAAGAACAUUUUAUAGAAACAGAAAAGCAGAGGUCCGCAAAUGGAACCCUGUGGUACACCUAAUCUGCAGUUUUGAAAGGUUGAUCCGACGCCGUCAACUUUAAAUCAUCGUACUCAGGGCUAAACAGAUGCUGUGAGAAAUUUAACUUUUAAUUUAAUUUUAUAAAAUCUAUCUAAAUCCUCCAGUAAUUCCCUGGUUUUGAAUGUAAUAACUGCGUGCACGCGUUAAUCCGUCUUUACGUUUUCCAGGAGUAAGCGACUGAAGUGUGGUCCCACCAUUCACACGUUCAGUCGGCGUCUUGUCUGGCCCGUGAGAAAAAAAGAGGAACUUUGCAUCUGUGUUGAAACAAAAGCCCCAUCAACAGCCAGACUUGCAUCUUUUUUUUUUCCUCUCUCUCUCUCUCUCUCUCUCUCUCUUUUUUUUCAGUGUGCACCAAACAAACAAUUAGCUUUGUUGCAGUGUAAUUGACUGGCAGGACCGGCUGGCAUUUACAUUCGCCCGCUGUUGCCACCCUGCCAUUCGGCGGGCCUGGAUGAAAGGGAAUAAGGUCCGUACGAGGGUGCGAGGUUGGCCACGUCUCUCUUACUUCCAAGCUUUUUUUUUUUCUCCCCUGGUGGCAAACUUCCAAGCAGGAGCAUUUCUUUUUUUUUUUUAAAGGAAGGAGGGAAGGGCGGGUGGAGUGAGGAUGAGACUAUGGAUUUAAUUAUGCAUGCGUGUUUUCCCAUUCAUUGUAGCGGUGGGAAGGAGCGACGGCGAGGGGUGGUUGAAGGGGUGCAGGGGGGGCAGACCAAUGACAUUCCGUCGUUGUAGUCCUCCUCCUACACACAAACACACACAUACAGGCAGCAGUCUGGGAGCGAGCCGCUAUAGGCUAAUGAGGUGACACUCACCGUCUGGAGACCAGCCAAAACAGUCCAUUAACUCCUAGCCAGUAGUUAAGAGGAGAAGAAGGAGAAAGGUGGAGGAGGGGAGGGGAGGGGACAAGAGGAGGCAGAUGAGGGAGUGGGCAAAUGGGUGAGGUAGGUGGCUAGAUGAAGGUGGGAGGAGUUUAUGGGGGGGUCUGGAGUCUCAGGAUGUGAGAGUGGGGGGUAUUCCUGCAGUUUUGUAGUUGUGAAUGAAUCAGUGGGGUGGCUGAAACAAGGGAGUGGGCUUUGCACGAGCGUUCACUGCUGGCGAUUAUGCUCUGAGGAGAUUUGUGUGUGGGUAGCAACGAAUGAGAGAGGACGGCGGAGAGAGAUCCAAGCCCACCCCCUUGUCCCGCCCCGUCCCGUUUCCCCCACCAACCACCCGCCCAGUCAGCUAGACAGACCUUUGACAGAGGAGCUCUGUGAUUCGCCUCUUUCAUCUUCAGAGAAACCCCCCUGUCCAGUCGGAUAAUUAUGAGACAAAUGCACCGGACCCCUGCUGCUUGAGUGGCAAUGGGCAUUGGAGGCCAGAAACACAGAGAGAGGGUUCAAACCUGCACGUCUCGACUGGUCUGGAGGGAGGGGGGGACAGGAGGAAUGAGGGAUGGCGAGGAGAGAGGAGGGGGAUAUCUGGGGUCUGGGAAUUUCCCUGCUCUCCCAGGAGAGAAAAGUUGGUCCGUAGAUCAUAGAUCAGGGGCAAACCGGUGGCGAUGCUAACAAGGACAGCAGGACUUUCACUGAAUACUUUCACGCUGCCUCUUUGGAUACACAAUGCAUGAAAUAAAUAUGGUUUACAAACAACCAGUUCCAUGCAAAAGUAUUAAACCAUCCAGACUUUCUUGGACUCUUUCUGGUCUUUUAAAACAGGGAAUUGCCUUAUUUUGGCUAAAACACAAUUUUAGGUCUAUUAAGCUGCUCUUUUAUUAAAUAUUACCCCAAAUAAACUGGAGCAAAUUGUGAAUUUGUGAGUGAAAUGGGUAACAUAGAGCCUAAAAAUCCAGUUUAAAAGCCUGUUGCUUAGCUGCCUGGUAUGUGCAGAAACACCACAGAUUCAUCCCUUUGGUUUAGGAGACGUGUUGAGUAUAAACUGACAGAUCAGUCAAACUUCCAACAAACAGCAAGAGAGUGAAAAAAGAAGCCAAAGUCCAGAGAAGACCUUUAGAAAACCUACGAUCUGAACUGCUUUAAAAGACAAGAGAUUCAAGACCUUUCAAAGCAAAAUAUCAAAAUCUUGGGGAUGCCUCAAGACUGUUGCACCGCAAUGAGUCUUUAAUACGUAAAACAACAUAUUAGUAACUAUUUAAGUUGGAAUGAACUCAGGCCCAGAAAGGUGUUCAGUGUGUUUAACUGUGCUUUGCUUGGCACUGAUAAGGAGGAACGUUUAGCCGAGGCUGCUUUAUCUACCACUUUAUCUCACACCAGUCACAAGUCCCGAUAGCUUUCAACAAGCAUGUCUGCAGAAACGCAACUGUAGAUCAUUUGAAAUUAUACUGAAAAUCAAUGAUGGCGAUCCAUUUAGUCGCUUUACGUCCUCAAUUCCUGGGGGGGCUCUGAUGUCUGGUCUAACUGUGAAAAGGGUGAAAGGUUGGGUACAACAAUCGGCAGAUUGUCGAUGCAAAACACGGUUAAAAAAGUGCAACUUUUUGGGGGGGAACAAACACCAUGUGUAAAAGAUUCAACCUCAGGACCUUCUUGCUGAAAGGCAACAGCACCAACACACCACCAGCAUGCAGCCUGCAUCCUGCAGUUGAAUAAACACUGAACUAAGAACAGUGGAAAGACAGGUUGUUAGUAGCUUUCACUUAUAGCCGCAGACGAAAAUCCCUUUAGAUUAUGGGCCAAGUUCAAAGACAAGGUCUCAUAGCUUGUGCUUGCGUCACACUGGAGCUGAUCAACCUCCGCCUGUGAUGUGUCACUGAUUGUCAGAGCUCACGACUGUGUCAAGCCUCAGCCAAGAGGACUUCCCACUGGCCACGACCGACCGGGCGCUCCCACUCAGGGCAAAAAAAAAAAAAAAAUGGCUCUCCUCCAGCUGGGCUUCAGGCCACCGAGGAUCCCUGCCACCCAUCGCCGCUGUUUGCGCUCUCAGAGCCGUGCCAAGCGAGCGGCAGCAGCAGCAGCGCAACGCACACAAACACACACGCCCACGCACACCUUUAAGCUUGGCUACAUGGAAGGAAUUAUGCGAUCGUAGAACGCCACCACAUCUAAGACCAAAUCUUGGCUCGAAACAGACAAAGAAAACAAAGCGUGCACUCAUUCGGACAAUUUUACUGGCACUGUUUCUCUGGAACGGGAUAUAGACUCGAGAAGGAGGUGGAGGGGUGUGUGUGUGUGUGUGUGUGUGUGUGUGUGUGUGCGUUUGUGGGGGGGAAUCAACCACAGAGUUUAAUGUGUCAUUACAAGCAUAAAAACAGACUACUGACGUUGCCAACAGAUGUCGAGCCAGUUUAUUUUUGCCAUUACAACUCCAGUAGGGAAUGAAGCAGCAGGUGCAAAUGGUGCUUUCUUCUUUACUAUCCAUGCUCCUGUGCUGCUGUAUCAUCAUUUCUUCUCAUUUAGUACGCAAACAUGCAUCAAGCUGGGUAUCAAAUUUCAAUGCGUUUACUGCGGACUUUAUUCUGCCAAGAACCGAAAGCGGGAUAUGAACUUUCGAUCAGAUUGUUCAGAUUAAAACGCAAUCUCAUUUACUUGGGGGUAAGAAAGCUGGUCUUAUAGUACCUAAUAAUGUCCACAUUUCCCCCCCCCCCAACUCCUUACCUGGAAGGGUCCAGUAAUGAUGGAAAGCUGUGCUAACUCCUGAGGCUGUAAGCUGUUCAGCUGGUUGGUGGUUUAAAAGCCGGCUGCAUGCCGCAUGGCUAGUAAAACCCCUCCUUUCCUGUUAAUGAGCCUGGAGACAGGGCUUUCAGAGGCCCCCGUCGGAGCUGGCCCAAAUCAAAGCAUUCGAGGGGAGAGAGGCUGUGGGGCAGGAGGGUUCAUUCGGGGGGAGAGUGGAGCCUGGUGGUGUCUCCGCUGGCACAAGACCCCCGAAUGAAGUUUUUUUUUUUUUUUUUUUGCUCUUUAAGGCAAACUAAAAGAGCGAUUUCAUGAAAACAUCUGGAGUCCAUGCACCAGGUAGAUGCUUAUUUGGUGAGUCUGAUGCCAGUCGGUAAUAAAACGGUGCCGUCAAGCAGAUUCUAACGUAACCCGAGACGGGCCGGUGGCGCCGUGCCUGUCACAAGGUCACGCCACUGGCAGUCCUCCAAAGACAGCAGAGCUCCUUCUUUCCUUGUGGAUCCUCUGACUGACUGGAGACAUCCUGGCAACAGCAACAAAGGUGUACAGUCAACAGACUGCGUCUUUCAGCAAAACAUCCCUCGCUGCAAAAGGAAAGUGCACUCGCUUUUAGUUUGAAGGUUGUAAUCAACUAAAACGCUAGCCAUGUGGAAGCAGAGCCGAUGUACAGACAGUCAAAACAGGAGCGUCAUUACAAAAGCCAACCAUUGUAAGUUUAUUUAAGCCACGACUUUAACGCAGAUGUCGAACUUUAUCCAAUUGAAAGUUUACAAAACUGUCUGGUAAAUUAGUGCUUUAGAAAUUAGGGGAAGCUAAGUGCGCUAAACUUUUCCAAAGUUAGAGCACUCUAAAAUGCCAAAUGAAAAAUCAGCUCCGCUACAAGCACAUUAGCAGAUUAGCAGGAGUGUGCCAACCGCUGCAUUUCGUAUAUUAGUAAAUACCAGAAAUGAUCUGGUCUUUAAAAGUUUCCUCAACUGCCCUCAAGUGCACAAAAGCACACAGCAGAAUCCGCGCUACCAUUACUUCAUCCAAAAUGGAAAAAACUAAGAUGAUUUAACAUCUUACAUAAUUCUUGAUGUCGGCUCAGUCAACUCGUUGAACUCAAUGGCUUCAAGACAUUCAUGUUCUGUUGCUGCCAAACCAGCCCUGAUCAUCAUUCCUCCACUGCUGUAGCAGACAGGUGCUAUGAAGUGUUAGUGCUGACAUGCUGUGUUAUGUUCUUUUUUUUUUGUUUGUUCAGGCAGAACAGCUCAUCUGUUCAAAGAACAUUGUUCUAGUAGUCUUUAUGCAAAUUUGACUUCUAGAGAAAAGAGGCAACAUUUCUAAACAAGUAAUUCUUGUCCAGCCUUUUUCUAAGUACACUGUUAUGAACUUUGAGAUUUAACAAGCUAAGCAAGAUGCUAAAAGUCUGAAUCUGAGCGUGUGGGGGCUUUUGCUUGGUCUAACCUUAUGACAUCUACUUCUGAGAAGAUUCAACACCAUCUUAAAUGUCGACCUUCCAACUAUUUGGAAACUCCUACAAGACGCGGAGCUGAUGUCUUUCCAGCUUGGCAUUGUGUUAUAGCGCACCAGCAAGCUUUGACCUGACUCAAGAUGCUCACGUCUAAACUGGGGAAACUAUAUCCCACAUUCAUGGCAAAUAAAUAAAUAAAUUAAAAAAAGACGCAGACAACAAAUCCACAAAUCCUUUCUCUGCUACCAGGGCUUGCUGGGGGAAGUAACAACAUGUGGUUUGGCUGCACAGCGCCAGCUUGCAGUGGGAAGAAGAGAGGCGCUAAAUUAAUUUCACAUUUUGUUGUUUGGGAGUCAUAAACAAUGGCAUCCACAGAGCAGGCCACUGAACGGUUUGAAAACAUUACAUCAGCAGCUUAUUGCAGCCAGUUUAAUGCCGCCGUCAAGGUGUUUCCACACAAUGUGUUUAAAACAGUGCCACAGCAUUAUGUCAAAGGGAGAUUAUGUAGGGGAGGAAAAAAGUACAUUCAAAUUUGGUUAACAAAGGUAGCCAUUCAUAAGAACUUCUGACAUUGCACAAUGUUCAAAAGUGAAACUGUAAUGAGAGGAGUGCAGAAGGCAAGAAGAUAUGCCUGGUGGCUUUCCAGCCAACAAUUUAAAUGUGUUUGGUUUUGACUUUAUUAUUUUUUUUUCUGGGUGGUUGCCAAAAGACUUUAGGAUGAUGAUCAACCCUUGCCAGGCAGGAUUGCGUUCAUGUCCAUGCACCUUGCAUUUUGCAUAUUUUAUUUAUUUAUUUUUUGUUGUUGGCCUGAUAAUGCUCAGAUGAGAAGGGUUCUCUGUCCUAAAUCUCGCUGCUCUGUUGCUGCUGCAGCUUUUUUCCCACGCGGCUCCCGAACUAUAAUCUCUUGAAAUAUUUGCACAGAUGACGGCAGCGCUCGGCUGUUUUGACACAGAGCCGCUUGAGCGAAGCCCAGCAGUCACUUUUUCCAUCGGUUCGGGAACAGGAAUUCCCCUCAUGCCGCUUUUCCUUGCAACAACCCCCACACCCCAAUAAGCCUUCCUCCACUUCCUCGGUAUGCUAAGAUUUGUCCACUCGGGGACGCAUCGUGGGGGAUUUCACACCCGCCCUGCAGCCAUCCUCCAACAAUCAGAGAGCGUUGCUUUCACUUUAUCGGAGAUGCCAAGAGUUCACCCAUGGAGAUCAGGGGCUAUGGGGGGUUGGGGUGGGAGAGAGUGGGCGGGCUGCAGGAUAGCUGAGGUAGUUCCUGUUCUGCCUUGGUUCAGCUCAGGAAGGCGAGCAGAGCCGACAGGAACGCUCUGUUUAUGUUUCAUGUUUCUGGGAGGAUCAUCUCUGAGCUUAAAGGAACAAAUUCAUGGAAAAGCUGCCCCCGUCUGAAUUCCCUCUCACCCCCCAGGGAUACUGGUUCAGCUGCAUAAAAAUAUCCCACUGACCGUCUGCACAAACAUCAAUGUACCGCAUGUCGAUACUAGAACCCCCUGAAACGGCAAACGCUGCUGCACGUCUGCAGGCGAGUCUCUCAGCCAGCUCUGCACAUGCAGGAUGCUCAAGUUUCGGCAGAUUCUUCUUCGAAAAGGAGCUCUGGCUCAAUCAGACUGGACAGAAAGCAACUGUAAAUUUUAACGCUAGUUUUUGUUUUUCACAGGUUCCUAAUUGGAUUGAGGUCUAGACUUUGACUGGACCACUGUAACCCAAAUAUAAUUUGAUCUGUUGUAGCUCUGGCUGUAUGUUUCCAGGACUUACAAAGGUCCAGGGUCAAGAAAAAGGCAGCUAUCAUCUCUGCAGAAAAAACUUGUUUUUUAUUUAUUUAUUUGCCUUUUAUACAUUUUUGUAUGUCUUCAUUGACAGCAGAAGUGAACUUAAGUCAAAUUCCUUGAUUGUGUGCAAAAACUUCUGAUAUUUACGGUGGUUUUCCAGCUGCUCUUACGGCUUCUAGCAGAUUUUCCUCCAGGAUUGUCCCGUACUUGGCUCCAUCCAUCUGCGCAUCAACUCAGCUAAGGAGAAACAUCCCUACAGCGUGACGCUGCCACCAACGUUUUCCAGUUUUUCACUGUUUUCCACAUUUUAUCACUUUAAGCAACUCAUAUUCUUUGCUACAUGCCAUGUGAAAAACCUCUUUUUUUUUUAAAUUUUUUUUGCCAACAACAGCUUUCUACCUGAGCAGUGGAUCUCUGCAGCUCAUCCAGAGUUAUCAAGAACCUUUUGGCUGCUUUUAAUUAAUCCUCUCCAUCCCUGUUCUUUCAAUUUAGGGUGAACAGCCGCUUCUUAAUAGUGGCUCUAUUAGAUGUUCCAAGUCUGGGAUAUUAUUUUAUGACUUAAUUCUGCAUUAAAUUUCUCUACACCUUCAUCUCCAGUCUGUCUAACGUGUUCCUCAGUCUUCAUGAUUCUGUUUGUUCUCUAAAGUUCUGUAGAAAACCUCUCAGAGUAGCUGAAUAAGAUUAAAUUUCACACAUGGGAACUAUUUAUUUAUUAGGUGACUACAGAAGGCAAGCUGUACUGGAUUUUAUUUAGGAAUAUUAGAGUAAAGGGUAUUUAACACUUGCUAUUCGUAAUAAAUUUUGAAAACCCAAGUUUUGUUCCCGGUCCACUUUAUGCUAGUAUGUGUUUAUCUAGCACAUAAAAUCAUCCCAUGAAAGUACACUGACAUUAGUGGCUGCAGAGCAAAAAAGUGUGGAAGAGUUCAAGAGGUGUGAAAACCUUCUGCCUUCGUUCGUAGAAACAAACGGCCUCGUGGGGGGGAAAAAAAAAAAAAACGGACCUGUAGUUAAAGGAUCUCUGAGAUUUCAAAUCGUAAUUGCACAGAAUUUGAUGCGCAAUCUGUUUAAAGGUCAUAAAAAUAAUCUUCUCGUCCUCGCCAGACUGUUGCAUCAUGGGAACUGGAAGGAACAUCAAAGGGCCACCACUGGAGCAAACUCCAGUAAUCCCCCUCCUGGCAAGCAUCUACAUAUAUACAUGCAUCCUUGCCAAACUUUUUUUUUUUUUUCCUCUCUCUCUCUCUCUGAAUGUGCGUGUGCUUGUAGAAAACACUAUCUCCUCGCUGACACUGACAGUCGCAGCUCUCGCAGAGGUUGGCAGCGCCUGCAGGAACACUUCCCGUUCUGUGGCGCAGGGCUUGGUCCAAGCCACUUGAACUUGGCAGGGCUCACCUGGAACAGCCUGCCCGUAGGAUUGCCGCAGACUCUUCACCCCAAAACACCCCCACACACACGCACGCACACACACACACACACACUCCAACUCCAAAUCGUCAGCCAAGACAGGCAUACAUGCGUGCAGGCCUUCCUGUAAACUCCAACAGCUGAUGUCAGCCACUCCUCCUUAAAAAAACUGGCUGCAACUGACUCUCAGGUAUUUACCGAGGGAGAAGGAAGCGAUUUAUUUAUAUCUGCGCGUUCCGGUUGAGCUGGUUUGGCUCGCUCGUGCUCAGUUUGUGCUUUUUAAUUAAAAAAGACAUCACUGUCGAGCAUUUAGUGCAAUGCAGUUUACAGUGUUUUUAGCAUUUCAGGUCAGCACAUUCAGCCCAGGAGCUGAACAAAGGGUUGAUUGUGCGUACAAGGUAAGUUUUUUUUUUUUUUUUUUUUUUUAUCAAUCGAGGGGGAAUUACACAGAUCGUAUGACACCAUAUGGAAAUCUUUUUACACAUAAUGUAUUUCCUUUGCAGGCGCUCUGAAAGGCGAGGCCUACAGGGAGUCCUCUUUAGGAGGGAAAACGCUUGUAUGUAUGGCGAGGAGGAAGGGAGGGAGGGGGGGGGAGAGCGAGUGAGUUAGUGGCGGGGGGUCGGGGGGUUUAGAGAGGGCGGUCCGAGCAUGCUCAGCGAAAAUAUGCCUCAUGCACUCGUUGAACUCAGGGGGCCUGAGCAGGCUUCUCUCAAGGUUACAGGAGAGGCCUGUGUGAAGAGAGGAGCGGGAGGACGGAGGCAUGCAGCUGCAGCUGCAGCUGCAGCGGCGGCGGCAGCAGCAGCCCACGUGCAACAGGGUCACCACUGGAUGCUGCAAUAAUUAAUAACACGCAGCAGAACGUUUUAUAUCUAAUCCAUUAAGCCGGUUUCAGCAGGCUCAAAUAACAGGAGCAGCAUGCGAUCACCUUUGACUCCCGGUUUCCUUCCCUCCUCGGAGGCGCUCGGGCCGCAUAUCCGCUACCGCGCCUCCACACCCCCCUAACCCGUUCCACCCACCCCCACUGCUCCCCGCCACACAAAGGUAGGAAGCCGGCCGCCAGAGCUCACCGCAUCCAGACCCGAACACUAAAUCACCUCUCGGUUUAUCCGCCGCCAUUUACACCCGUAUCGCCAGAGGAAAUGAUAAAGACAACAAGGCCCCAGUAAACACAUCAGACGAUGUGGAGGACGUGAGGCUGUUAGCUGAUUGAACGAUACGCAGCCAGAGGACUCUCCCGGCAACGCCGCGUGCGCUCUUUUCUCUACAUUGUCUUAAGUUACAGCCAGGAACUUGGAUGUAUUUUAGCAGCAUUUUAUUUGACAGACCAACAUAAAGUUGUCUGUAGUUGUUUAAUCAGAUGAAACAUUGACAAGUAACUCUCAAGAUUUCUUUGCAAAUAAAAAUUUGAAAAGUGUGGCGUGCAUUUGUCAGACUCUUUAGCCUCCAGAUCUUCUGCAGUUUGAAACUUUUGCUAAUUAGUCCAAGUGAAGUCAGAAUCGGACGUCGACUUUUCAAGUUUUGCCACAAGCACUCAUUUGGAUUAUGGUGUAGACUUUGACUAGACCACUCUGACACAUUAGUACACUUUGUCUGAACUGAUGGUGUGUUUGGGUUCCACCACACCUUUUCGUUCCCUACAUUGUUUUCUUCUUGCUGUCAGCAGAUUCUCACGCCUGAGCCGAGGAUCUCUGCAGCUCCUCCAUAGCUGCCCCACACCUACAGUGCUUCUCUUUCUGAUGCUCCCUUGAACAGCCGUGUCUUGGAGUCGGUGCUAACGCCAAUAAAAUGCAUUGCAGUUUGUUGUUGCAACACGACUGUGAUGAUUUACUUGCAGUGUGCAUACUUCUGCAGGACAAUGUGCAUCUCUGCAAGCACACAGAGUCUUUCUAUUGUUGAGUUUGUGCCAGAGGUGUUGAGUCAUAAAGCCCAGACCUUUUAGAGGCGUGCGCUUUUUAUCUGCAAACAGGACAGAAGCCAAACCCUGGCUGUUAUCAUGGCCUCUCUGUGGAUCUCAUCAGAUCAGCAGCUGUCAUGCUAAACCGCCACUUCAGAGCCAAGACGGCAGAAAAGAAUCAAACACUCUAACGGCUAAAACAACAAUCAGGAUUGUGCUUCAAACAGGGGUCAAAGGGCAACAGGUAGUAAACACUAGACAUAAUGAACUGGUCACUCUGCCUUUGCUCUUGAAUUGGCAGGUCAUUAGCGCCUCGUAAAACAGAACAACUGCUCUGCUUUUCAGCAACUCAGGCCUGCUUUUAGACAAAUAACCUCGAGAUGUGAUUUAACGCCGCGGAUUGAAGGAAACUGGUUUGCCGUUGUUAAAACAUCUUGGUUAAUUUCCAGAGGAGCGCCAGACGAAGCGCCUUCGCCGGUUACAAAAGCGGUUCCCCGAGUGGCCAAGCUUCAGAGUGCAACUUUCCGCUUUUACACCAUCGGAGGCGCUUUCGUAAACAAGAGGAGGCGGGGAAAAAAUACCGCCGCAUCCGACACAAUAAAAGAGCAGCAUCAAAGCAGCUAUAGAGGAGAAUCAAUCGGAGCAUUAGACGCCGCUUGGGGUUGUCAACGUGAUGGCUUAGAUGGAGCUGGAGAACAUCUCAGUGGAUGUAAAGCGGGCAAACAAAUUAAGAGGGAUGAGCUCCAGCUUGGUGGAUUACUUUUAGCUUCUUGGAGCUCAAUAACAGGCCACGAGUCUGUCAAAGCUGCGUGGAUCUGUGGCUUAAAAAAAAAAAAAAACAACAACAGUCAGAAUAGAAAACGAACUGGCUCAACCUGACAGAGCACAUCUUUUUAAAGAGGACAUCAGUUCCCGUAGUGAUUGUUUGAGCCCUUUACCCUUUUAUUUUUUGUUUGUUUGUUUAGUUGGUUAUGCAUCCCAACUAUGAGCCUCCUUCCAGUAAACGCUCUGCAGUGGUUCACAUGCCUGCCUAGCUGUAAAUACCAAAGAUAUUUCACCCCAUCCAUCAGACACUUUGCUCUAUUUCUACAGUUUGCAGAUGAAAGUCGAGUGUAGGGGACGUUGUUAUGGUGACCUGGCCUCCUUUAAAAAUGGACAUUUUUGGGCGCUGCAUUGAGAAAAAAAAAAAAAAAGAAUUAAAAUGCUACCCGCAGCGUUUUAUUGUCAGACUUUAACUAGUGAUACACAACUCCAUUAACCGGUUCUGACCGGUGACAGGUCAAGUCAUGAGCACUCUUCAUUAAAUACACCAACGCUAGAAACUUCCACUUGUCUCAUGCCUGAAAAUGCAUCAAUAUAAAACCUUUUCUUGAAUGCACAUUGUUUCAAAUUAAAUGAAAAUUAGACAGAUUAGAAAGUAAAUUGGUUUUCUGUUGGACUCAAAACUACUGCGGCUAUUCAAGAAACUGCACCAUUUUUUGUAAUUUUUAUUUUUAUUUGUUUGGCUAAACUAAGACUAAGACAGAUACACAAAUAUCUUUAGUCAAAAAAUCUGGACUGGCUGGUUUGUUGGGUAACUUUAGCGCCCGAAUAAAACAACAUCUAAUCAGUAAAGGAGAAUAACAUCUGGUUUGAUGCACUGUUUGUUGUUAUUGUUGGCCUUCUUUAAAAAGUAAGGAAAAUAUAUUAUACUUCACUACUUAUAAACUGACUGUCACCAUUUUUCCGCUAGCAGAACAUCUAGUUUGAUGUAUUCUAGAGUAGUACCUAAAGUAUUGUUUUAAUGUUGCUUAAACAUCUGAACUCUGACAAAAACACUUUGUGUCGUUUACUUAAAAGUUAUCAGGUGAUUUCAGCUUUGUAUCAUUUCAUACUUUUACAGUUUUGUCAUUCCUGACUUUUUUUCACAAACAGAGCCAACUGCCUUCAUACGUCUGACCUUUGAUGUAAUUUUUUUUUAUUUUAUCUUUAGAGGUCAUUUUAAAAAUAUCCAUUAAAUUCUUAGUAAAAAACAAUUACAACUAUUCUACUCAAAUGUAUGUUUCUUUAGAAUCAAAAACAAAUUGCAUUGUAUGCUGAUGACUAUCUGGUGUUGACAAAUUUAUUUACAGAGCUCCAAUAAAAACACAGUGUGUUGGUUUAAAUGAAAGGUAUUAGUAAGUAGUCCAAACUCUUUACCAUUUCUGUCAUUUUAUAACAGAUGCUUUUGGGGUAAAAAAGACAAAUCUUACAUUAAAUUGGAGCCACUUCAAUUUAAGUGACAGCUGAGGAUUCGCACAGAAAAUAUUUACCACCAAUUGGUUAAUGAGAGUUGUUUUGGUUUGACAAGGGAUCAUCACUUCCCAUCUUUCAUAAGGGUUUGCUAAUAGAAAUUAGCAUUAGCGUUAGCAGAAACUGCAUUUAUGAUUAGUGCCUUAUGGUUAAUGCAAGUAACUUUUUAUUUAAAAAAACCAACACUAAUACCAAAAGUCAUAUAUCAAACCAAAUACUGACAGAAACAUAUGUUUUACUUAAAACUUUUAUUAUUAUUGCUUUGAUUUAUUGACAAGGAAAGAUAACUCAGCAAAAUAAAAGAAUAUUUCAAAAUAGACAUUUUUUGUGUGUAACUAUUUUGAAAAAGCAAAUACAGCUCGCACUGUUGAUUAUUAGAAGGGUAACCAUAAAAUAUCUUUUGCCCGACCUUCAUUGUGAAAGCACAAAUCGUAAGGAUCGAGGUGCAGACCACACCGAGGGUGGAUGAGCAACCAGGGAUUCUCGUCUUGACCUUUUGUUCACACCGGGCACCGCAGUGGAAACAUUUCAAAAGCAUUUUUAGUUUCAGGAGUUGAACUUCGCUGCUGACUGCAGGGACUUUUCCAGGAGCGAGUCCUGAGAGCCCGGAGCCCAAGAAGCUCUGCAACGUGAGACGAUGCAAGGGUAUUAUUAGACCGACGCAAUUUGCCUGUGACACAUUUACUGCGAAGGACCUCAAGAGUGAUAACACACACAAACCGCAGUCUGCUGAGUAGAGUGAGAGCAAUACUCUUAGCCACGGGAGAGUCGGGCCAAUUAAUGCCAAGGAGUCCUCCGAGCGCAGCCCCUCAGUAUAAUCCUACAACCAAAUUUAUGGGGAGCGUCGAUGCAGGGUUCGUUAAUCACAUUUCAUAUCAGAAAUAGUCACUCCCACUGCUUAGCGUUAACGUUUCGCAAAUGACAAAGCCGAGCAAGAAUGUCUCUCACACAAGCAGUGACUUUAUGAGAAAAGACUCAUAAAUACAGCUCUGCAAGGUUACUAAAAGACGGAAGAAAACAUGACGGCCUUAGAGUUACGGCAACUAAUAUCACUUAGAUCCAAGUCCUCAAGAAUAUCUCGCUCAGCGAGUCAAACUGGCACUUGAGACAUGAAAGGGCAGCUGCGACGUUUGGUUUACAUUAUAUCUUAGUGGUUUCCACAUUGUGGCCAGGGGAUAAGCAUCAGGAGAGGUUUAUCUCUGUCACAGAGCUCUAUGGAAUAUGUAAACACUACGCGUAAUCAGUGGCUAAAGUGAAAUAAAGUGCAAGGGGAAGGGAGGCGGUGUGGGAAAGUCAAGUAGGAAUAAGCCACCAUCUUACUCUUGAAAGUAAAUAAAACAUGAGAAACUGGAGACAAAGCUGCAGGACCUCUAAGAGGGUUUAAAGCAGGAACAUUUUAAAAGUACAAAAUUCAAUAUCAGCAAGUAACGUUCAGGAUCUUAUCCGAUCUGAUCUGCUUCUUGGCUUCACCCCGACGAUGUGCCUUUGUCCUCGUCACCCACCCUGUGAGGCGGCGGCUGCGGCGCUUCUUUUCUCUCCCCGUUUUUGUAGAACACCACCCAAUUGUUUUCGACGAAGAGCCUCUCUACCCAUCCAGAGCCCAAGUUUUUAAUAUGGUGUCCAAGCAAAAGUGAUUAAACAUCGCAGAGCACAAACAAUGCUGGCCCUUAAAUCUGUAUGAACCCUCUUUCACCAGAGCGAAUGAAAGAGCUCUCUGUCUGCAGCAGCAGAUGACAGACGCGCGCUUGAAGAUAAGUCUUCUCCGCGGGCCCUUAUCCGGGGAAACACCCGCCGCCCGACCAAAUAAAGAAAUAAACACCCGACAACAGCGCCGAGCCCCACCUUUAAGGCAGCGAGACGAGAAAGCGACCCCCUUUUUGUUACACGAACCGCAUUGAGAUCAUACUAAAAACCAGAGGCAUUAGCUUGUUCCAAGUGAAUCGCUGUGGAGGAAAAUUCAGAACAGAUGACAAAUAUACAGUAAAACCUGGACGCACAUGUACAUGUGUACAAAAACAGGCAACUGAUCACUAUUAAAACCAACCAGCUGUCUGAAGCAUGAGAACUUCUGAAAGGGGGGGGGAAAAAAAGCAUAUUUUCUAUAAAUCGUCACGUGUGGCACAUAAAUUACCGACAAUCACAAUGCAUCAUGUGUGAGGCAUGUAAAACAAUAACCCGAACUAAUGCAAUAGAUGCAUUUGGUUCCUGCUAACAGGAAAACUGGAAAGUGAAGCAGCAAAUCUGGGCUGAAAGGAUGAUUGUUUUUACUUUAACGCAAGUAGCUCGAUAUUAAUCAAGGUUUGAAAUGCAUUCUUCAUUUAAAAAGUCGACACUUUUCUACACUCAAAAUCCAUUAUUUCUUCUUCUUGAAAAGCAAGACUAACAUUUAAAUACAUGUUUAUGGCUGAUAUUUCUGCACUUCUCAGGCUUUAAAUAUGGUUGGAUGAACGGACGUAGGGACGGAUCGAUGCAUAGAUGGAUGGUCCGGUUGAAACCACUCACACUAUAUUUUAAAGGACGCAUUAAAGGUACAUUUUACGCUUUUCAAUGUUUUUGCAGACUGUGUUUAUUUCCAAACUGGUGCAUUAUGUUCGAGGGUUACUGUCUCUUUAAGAGAUUCUGAUUUUUUUUUUUUAUCUAGUCAGGGAGGAGUCUCUGGCUAAA